rnacentral:rRNA from 1 species
CUGACCGAGCAACGCCGCGUGAACGAUGAAGUAUUUCGGUACGUAAAGUUCUUUUAUUAGGGAAGAAUAAAUGAUGGAAAAAUCAUUCUGACGGUACCUAAUGAAUAAGCCCCGGCUAACUAUGUGCCAGCAGCCGCGGUAAUACAUAGGGGGCAAGCGUUAUCCGGAAUUAUUGGGCGUAAAGGGUGCGUAGGCGGUUAAAUAAGUUUAUGGUCUAAGUGCAAUGCUCAACAUUGUGAUGCUAUAAAAACUGUUUAGCUAGAGUAAGAUAGAGGCAAGUGGAAUUCCAUGUGUAGUGGUAAAAUGCGUAAAUAUAUGGAGGAACACCAGUAGCGAAGGCGGCUUGCUGGGUCUUUACUGACGCUGAGGCACGAAAGCGUGGGGAGCAAACAGGAUUAGAUACCCUGGUAGUCCACGCCGUAAACGAUGAGUACUAAACGUUGGGUAAAACCAGUGUUGAAGUUAACACAUUAAGUACUCCGCCUGAGUAGUACGUACGCAAGUAUGAAACUUAAAGGAAUUGACGGGACUCCGCACAAGCGGUGGAUCAUGUUGUUUAAUUCGAAGGUACCCGAAAAACCUCACCAGGUCUUGACAUGCUUCUGCAAAGCUGUAGAAACACAGUGGAGGUUAUCAGUUGCACAGGUGGUGCAUGGUUGUCGUCAGCUCGUGUCGUGAGAUGUUGGGUUAAGUCCCGCAACGAGCGCAACCCUUAUUGUUAGUUACCAGCACGUAAUGGUGGGGACUUUAGCAAGACUGCCAGUGAUGAAUUGGAGGAAGGUGGGGACGACGUCAAAUCAUCAUGCCCCUUAUGACCUGGGCUACAAACGUGAUACAAUGGCUG